rnacentral:lncRNA from 1 species
CGAAAGUUGAGAAAUCCCCCAAACCACUUAGCGGCGGCGGCGGCGGCGGCGAAGCACCUCUCUUCUCUUCUCAACGCCCCCUUCCCAACAAACAACCAGGGAUCCACGGCCACCUCUCUUCUCUUCUCAACGCCCCCUUCCCAACAAGGGAUCCUCCCCAACCAGGGAUCCCCAACAAGAGAUGGAGGGGGAACUGAGGAAGAAGAGGGAGAUGGAGUCCGGCCAGGAGGGGACGGAGACGGAGGGGGAACUCAGGAAAGAGCAGGAGAGGCUCAGGAACGUUCGGUACCAACUAAAGAAGUGUUGUGAAUCCACCAUGAACCGGGCGACGCAGAGGAUAUUCUUGGAUCAGCUGGACUUACUCUGGAGUGAGGAGCAAGCACACCUCACGAUGAUGAGGGAGUCCGGGAUGGAGAUUGAGAGGGAUUCCGGUUCCGAUGAUACUGAUACUAAUUCCGAUUCCGGUGAUGAGAUUGAGAGGGUGCACCCGUCCCUCACAAGGAUGGCGUGGAGACUCAGAAAGGAGGCGGAGAGGGAUUAUUUCAGUAAGUUGGCCGGCAAAGAUGAGCACGGCAUGGAGAUGGAGGAGCAACUCAGCAAGGAGCACCAGAGACUCAGCAAUGUUCGGUGCCAACUCAAGAAGAAGACCGCCAACGCCAAGGACCCUGCGACGCAGAGGAUACUCUUGACUCAGCAGGAGAUACUCUGGACCAAGGAACAAGCACUCCUCACCAUCAUGACGCAGACGCAGACGCAGUCAGGGAUGGAGAUUGACAAGGAUUAUUCCGGCCAAGAGAUGGGCAGAGAUUCGCCCCUCAUAACUAUGGAGGUGGGACUCAGCAAGGGGACGGUGAGAGACGCCGGCGGCAAGGAGGUGGGGGACUGGGGACUCAGCAAGGAGCCGGUGAGAGACGCCAUGGGCUUGGUCGUUGCUCUUUCUAGCCACCUUGGGAUGCUUAGGAGGGAGAUCACCUUCCUGAGGACAGAGGUCACGUCCCGGGGCCAGGGGUUGGCUCCUGCAACCACUGGAAACAAGCUAGCUGGUCAAGUCAUGUCUAACCUCUCCCUCCAUGACAAUCUACUCAAGAAGAAGGUGGAUUUGCCUUACCUAGGUUGCCAUACCGAGGAUGCAAUGGAUUUCCUGCUUGUGGAGACGCACCAGUUGCUCUACCGCUUCAACUCUUUCCCAUCCAUUGUACAAAAAUUUGGAAUCCCCAUAUCCACGGACAAGAUUGACAAGCUGCGUCUCGUAUCCAGUGCACUUGUGGGCAUCUCGGAGCUUAUCAAAAGGCACAAAUCUGCUGCUGCCAAGGGUUAUGGAGAUCCUUUGGACCGUGCCGGCUGGGAUGCUACCUGGGGAAGCUCGACAGGGACACAUGGUGUCUUUGACGACAUAAGUAAGCAAAAAAUACUGCUAUUUAACUAUGUUUUUCCCUCUUCUCUUUAAUUAAUUGUGCCUCAGUCAAUUCAAUGCAAUUCCCUUCAUGUAUAUAUAAACCGCUAAAUUAAACUCGAUUUCUAACUAUCCUGAUUUUGCCACACGGAACCCUUCUUAUAUAUGCAUAGAUUUUAUUCUGCUAACUUUAGUACUAGUUCGAUUUCUAACUAUCCUCAAUCUCUUGAUUUUGUGCUGCAGCGACAUUGAGUCCUAUGCAGUUCACGGCUUACACGCCUGGAAUCAUCCCAUUAUCUUCUGUCCCUGGCCCUGCCUUGCAGAUCUACUCAAUCAAACUCAUUAAGCUCAACCCUAAUCUGAGUUGGCCUAUUGAUGUCUACGGCAUGGUUGCUGUACGGGACGGUUUUGACCACAACCUCAACAUUCUCUUCCGCCGGUCAAGUGCAAACUGCCAAAGAAUUAAGAAAGAGGUUUGUAUAAUGUCUAUCUUCUCGUCUAAUUGUUACUCCUAUAAAGGAUUAUGUGAAGAGCAUUUUUUUUGUGUGACAAGGGAUUAAGUUAUAAUUGUUGCCUAACGUUUUGUAGUUUAAACUGAGUUGUUUGGUUACCUACAUACCUUGGGAUUUUUUUUGAACAUUAUAAAGACUGUAGGAGAGUCUCUUACAGUCGUAUAAAUUAUACAAUAAAAGAGUUAUUUACAUGAUGUGCAUGGUGUGGGCAGAGGGGGGCUUUGCCCACUCCCAAAAAGAGUCCAGUCAGUGGAAGUUUCUCUUAGCUAAACAAGGUGUGACCCUACCUGGGGAAGCUCGACAGGGACACAUGGUGUGACCUAGAUUCCGUGUGGGACACAGGACACAAUGAUCAUUUUGGUCUGAGGAUGGACCAACCAUGCAGUGCCUACGUCUGGGC